GGUCAUUGACCUCACCGGAGUUUUACCGUGGUUCAGGCUCCUAACGACACAAGACUUUGCUGCAAUAUGUCAUCUGACGAUGAUGAAAGGAAUAUGAUGAUAAUAACAUUGUUCAACAAAGGCUUAAAACAAAAGGAAAUCAGCUGUGCACUGAAUUCAUAUGGGCAUAAAAUAAGUGAGAGGCAUCUGAGACGAGUUUUAAAACUUCUAGGGUUGAAGCGAAGAUGCCCCCAACGACCUUUUACUGAAAUCCACAAAGCUGUGGAGAGUGAGAUGAAACAGUGGUCUCCUGAAC